AUGUACCACUCGUAUACUCCGGUUCUGAGCGCGCCGUCCGCACCCACCUGACGACCGCUCGCCACGUUUUGUUAGCC
rnacentral:sRNA from 1 species